rnacentral:rRNA from 1 species
AGAGUGAACGCUGGCGGCAGGCCUAACACAUGCAAGUCGAACGGCAGCACAGUCGUAGCAAUACGAUGGGUGGCGAGUGGCGGACGGGUGAGGAAUACAUCGGAAUCUACCUUGUCGUGGGGGAUAACGUAGGGAAACUUACGCUAAUACCGCAUACGAACUAUGGUUGAAAGCGGCGGACCGCAAGGCGUCGCGCGAUUGGAUGAGCCGAUGUCCGAUUAGCUAGUUGGCGGGGUAAAGGCCCACCAAGGCGACGAUCGGUAGCUGGUCUGAGAGGAUGAUCAGCCACACUGGAACUGAGACACGGUCCAGACUCCUACGGGAGGCAGCAGGUGGGAAUAUGGACAAUGGCGCAAGCCUGAUCCAGCCAUCGCGCGUGUGUGAAGAACGGCCUUACGGGUUGUAAGCUACGUUUUGGUAGGGAAGAAAGUCGACUUGGUUAACUACCCGUGGUCGUUCGUACGACGGUUAACCCAAAG